AUUGAACGCUGGCGGCAGGCUUAACACAUGCAAGUCGAGCGGGGUGAUGGUGCUUGCACUAUCACUUAGCGGCGGACGGGUGAGUCAUGCUUAGGAAUCUGCCUAUUAGUGGGGGACAACAUCUCGAAAGGGAUGCUAAUACCGCAUACGUCCUACGGGAGAAAGCAGGGGAUCACUUGUGACCUUGCGCUAAUAGAUGAGCCUAAGUCGUGUUAGCUAGUUGGUGGGGUAAAGGCCUACCAAGGCGACGAUCUGUAGCGGGUCUGAGAGGAUGAGCCGCCACACUGGGACGGAGACACGGCCCAGACUCCUACGGGAGGCAGCAGUGGGGAAUAUUGGACAAUGGGGGGAACCCUGAUCCAGCCAUGCCGCGUGUGUGAAGAAGGCCUUAUGGUUGUAAAGCACUUUAAGCGAGGAGGAGGCUACUUUAGUUAAUACCUAGAGAUAGUGGACGUUACUCGCAGAAUAAGCACCGGCUAACUCUGUGCCAGCAGCCGCGGUAA
rnacentral:rRNA from 1 species